UACGGGGGGGGCAAGCGUUGUUCGGAAUUACUGGGCGUAAAGGGCUCGUAGGCGGCCAACUAAGUCAGACGUGAAAUCCCUCGGCUUAACCGGGGAACUGCGUCUGAUACUGGAUGGCUUGAGUUUGGGAGAGGGACGCGGAAUUCCAGGUGUAGCGGUGAAAUGCGUAGAUAUCUGGAGGAACACCGGUGGCGAAGGCGGCGUCCUGGGCCAGCACUGACACUGAGGAGCGAAAGCGAGGGGAGCAAACGGG
rnacentral:rRNA from 1 species